rnacentral:rRNA from 1 species
GUAGUUAGCCGUGGCUUCCUCCUUAGCUACCGUCACUUUCUUCGUCACUAAGGACAGAGGUUUACAACCCGAAAGCCUUCUUCCCUCACGCGGCGUUGCUGGGUCAGGCUUGCGCCCAUUGCCCAAUAUUCCCCACUGCUGCCUCCCGUAGGAGUCUGGACCGUGUCUCAGUUCCAGUGUGGCCGAUCAGCCUCUCAGCUCGGCUACCCAUCGUCGACUUGGUGGGCCGUUACCCCGCCAACUAUCUAAUGGGACGCGAACCCCUCCUAUACCGGAUUGCUCCUUUGACCUCAUCCCGAUGUCGGGUCGUGGUCUUAUGCGGUAUUAGCAACCGUUUCCGGUUGUUAUCCCCCUGUAUAGGGCAGGUUGUUCACGCGUUACUCACCGUCGCCACUAAGUAUCAACCGAACUACAAUACUUCCGUUCGUACUUGUCAUGUGUUAGGUCGACGCCGCCACGCGUUCGUUCCUCGAGCCACGAAUACGAACCCGUACGA